AUUGAACGCUGGCGGAAUGCUCUACACAUGCAAGUCGAGCGGCAGCACGGGGGCAACCCUGGUGGCGAGCGGCGAACGGGUGAGUAAUACAUCGGAACAUGCCCAGUCGUGGGGGAUAACACUUCGAAAGAAGUGCUAAUACCGCAUACGUCCUGAGGGGGAAAGCGGGGGAUCGCAAGACCUCGCGCGAUUGGAGUGGCCGAUGUCAGAUUAGCUAGUUGGUGGGGUAAAGGCCUACCAAGGCAACGAUCUGUAGCUGGUCUGAGAGGAUGAUCAGCCACACUGGGACUGAGACACGGCCCAGACUCCUACGGGAGGCAGCAGUGGGGAAUUUUGGACAAUGGGGGCAACCCUGAUCCAGCCAUUCCGCGUGAGUGAAGAAGGCCUUCGGGUUGUAAAGCUCUUUCGGCAGGAACGAAACGGUGAGCUCUAACAUAGCUUGCUAAUGACGGUACCUGAAGAAGAAGCACCGGCUAACUACGUG
rnacentral:rRNA from 1 species